rnacentral:rRNA from 1 species
GCUGGCGGCGUGCUUAACACAUGCAAGUCGUACGAGAACUCUUCUGCUUGCAGAAGAUAGUAAAGUGGCGCACGGGUGAGUAACGCGUGGGUAAUCUACCUCCGAAUCUGGGAUAACCCGCCGAAAGGCGAGCUAAUACCGGGUAAUAUCUUUAAACUUCGGUUUUUAAGAUCAAAGGUGGUCUCUACAUGUAAGCUACUGUUUGGAGAUGAGCCCGCGUACCAUUAGCUUGUUGGUAGGGUAAUGGCCUACCAAGGCCGCGAUGGUUAGCUGGUCUGAGAGGAUGAUCAGCCACACUGGAACUGACACACGGUCCAGACUCCUACGGGAGGCAGCAGUGAGGAAUUUUGCGCAAUGGGGGAAACCCUGACGCAGCAACGCCGCGUGAGUGAUGAAGGCUUUCGGGUCGUCUAAGCUCUGUCAAGUGGGAAGAACCUGCUGGAUGCUAAUAUCAUUCGGCACUGACGGUACCACUAAAGGAA